CAGUGCGAGAUCCGCUGCUGCUGAGGAGAGGAGCGUCAACAGCAGCACCAUGGUGUUUCAAUGGAUUUGCCUCUCCUGUUUGGACUGAAUAUGUCAUUACAAUUCUUGGAAUUCUUUGUUUACUGUUCCUCUGUGGAUUUCUUCUGUUGGAAUCUGGAACACUGGAAUGAUGGAAAUGUGUUCUUUACAAAGUAGCUCAACAGAAGAACCUUGAAGGCUAUGUGGGAUUUGCCAAUCUCCCAAAUCAAGUAUACAGAAAAUCGGUGAAGAGAGGUUUUGAAUUCACGCUUAUGGUAGUGGAGGUGAUGUUUCACCAUGUUGCCCGUGGCUAAUCUUGAACUCCUGGGCUCAAGCGAUCCAUCCGCCUUGGCCUCCCAAAGUGCUAGGAUUACAGGUGAAUCUGGAUUGGGAAAGUCGACAUUAAUCAACUCAUUAUUCCUCACAGAUUUGUAUUCUCCAGAGUAUCCAGGUCCUUCUCAUAGAAUUAAAAAGACUGUACAGGUGGAACAAUCCAAAGUUUUAAUCAAAGAAGGUGGUGUUCAGUUGCUGCUCACAAUAGUUGAUACCCC
rnacentral:lncRNA from 10 species